rnacentral:rRNA from 1 species
CGUUAAGUUGCAGGGUAUAGACCCGAAACCCGGUGAUCUAGCCAUGGGCAGGUUGAAGGUUGGGUAACACUAACUGGAGGACCGAACCGACUAAUGUUGAAAAAUUAGCGGAUGACCUGUGGCUGGGGGUGAAAGGCCAAUCAAACCGGGAGAUAGCUGGUUCUCCCCGAAAGCUAUUUAGGUAGCGCCUCGUGAAUUCAUCUCCGGGGGUAGAGCACUGUUUCGGCCAGGGGGCCAUCCCGGCUUACCAAUCCGAUGCAAACUGCGAAUACCGGAGAAUGUUAUCACGGGAGACACACGGCGGGUGCUAACGUCCGUCGUGAAGAGGGAAACAACCCAGACCGCCAGCUAAGGUCCCAAAGUCAUGGUUAAGUGGGAAACGAUGUGGGAAGGCCCAGACAGCCAGGAUGUUGGCUUAGAAGCAGCCAUCAUUUAAAGAAAGCGUAAUAGCUCACUGGUCGAGUCGGCCUGCGCGGAAGAUGUAACGGGGCUAAACCAUGCACCGAAGCUGCGGCAGCGAACGUAUCACCCAAGACAACUUUGCACAGUUGACGAUUGACGGAGCGAAGCGACGUCAAAGCGUUUUACAACGUCGAGUUGGCUUAGGGAUACGUUCGUUGGGUAGGGGAGCGUUCUGUAAGCCGUUGAAGGUGGCCUGUGAGGGUUGCUGGAGGUAUCAGAAGUGCGAAUGCUGACAUAAGUAACGAUAAAGCGGGUGAAAAGCCCGCUCGCCGGAAGACCAAGGGUUCCUGUCCAACGUUAAUCGGGGCAGGGUGAGUCGACCCCUAAGGCGAGGCCGAAAGGCGUAGUCGAUGGGAAACGGGUUAAUAUUCCCGUACUUGGUGUUACUGCGAAGGGGGGACGGAGAAGGCUAUGUUGGCCGGGCGACGGUUGUCCCGGUUUAAGCGUGUAGGUGUGUGUUCCAGGUAAAUCCGGUUCACUUUAACACUGAGGCGUGACGACGAGGCACUACGGUGCUGAAGCAACAAAUGCCCUGCUUCCAGGAAAAGCCUCUAAGCCUCAGGUAACAUCAAAUCGUACCCCAAACCGACACAGGUGGUCAGGUAGAGAAUACCAAGGCGCUUGAGAGAACUCGGGUGAAGGAACUAGGCAAAAUGGUGCCGUAACUUCGGGAGAAGGCACGCUGAUAUGUAGGUGAAGUGAUUUACUCAUGGAGCUGAAAUCAGUCGAAGAUACCAGCUGGCUGCAACUGUUUAUUAAAAACACAGCACUGUGCAAACACGAAAGUGGACGUAUACGGUGUGACGCCUGCCCGGUGCCGGAAGGUUAAUUGAUGGGGUCAGCGCAAGCGAAGCUCCUGAUCGAAGCCCCGGUAAACGGCGGCCGUAACUAUAACGGUCCUAAGGUAGCGAAAUUCCUUGUCGGGUAAGUUCCGACCUGCACGAAUGGCGUAAUGAUGGCCAGGCUGUCUCCACCCGGGACUCAGUGAAAUUGAACUCGCUGUGAAGAUGCAGUGUACCCGCGGCAAGACGGAAAGACCCCGUGAACCUUUACUAUAGCUUGACACUGAACACUGGUCCUUGAUGUGCAGGAUAGGUGGGAGGCUUUGAAGUGUGGACGCCAGUCUGCAUGGAGCCAUCCUUGAAAUACCACCCUUUAAUGGCUGGUGUUCUAACGUGGGCCCGUGAACCGGGUUGCGGACAGUGUCUGGUGGGUAGUUUGACUGGGGCGGUCUCCUCCUAAAGAGUAACGGAGGAGCACGAAGGUUGGCUAAUCCUGGUCGGACAUCAGGAGGUUAGUGCAAUGGCAUAAGCCAGCUUGACUGCGAGCGUGACGGCGCGAGCAGGUGCGAAAGCAGGUCAUAGUGAUCCGGUGGUUCUGAAUGGAAGGGCCAUCGCUCAACGGAUAAAAGGUACUCCGGGGAUAACAGGCUGAUACCGCCCAAGAGUUCAUAUCGACGGCGGUGUUUGGCACCUCGAUGUCGGCUCAUCACAUCCUGGGGCUGAAGUAGGUCCCAAGGGUAUGGCUGUUCGCCAUUUAAAGUGGUACGCGAGCUGGGUUUAGAACGUCGUGAGACAGUUCGGUCCCUAUCUGCCGUGGGCGCUGGAAGAUUGAGGGGGGCUGCUCCUAGUACGAGAGGACCGGAGUGGACGCAUCACUGGUGUUCGGGUUGUCAUGCCAAUGGCACUGCCCGGUAGCUACAUGCGGAAGAGAUAAGUGCUGAAAGCAUCUAAGCACGAAACUUGCCCCGAGAUGAAUCUUCCCUGAGCCUUUAAGGCUCCUGAAGGAACGUUGAAGACGACGACGUUGAUAGGCCGGGUGUGUAAGCGCAGCGAUGCGUUGAGCUAACCGGUACUAAUGAACCGUGAGGCUUAACCUU